CCCCUUAUGACCUGGGCUACACACGUGCUACAAUGGGCGGUACAAAGGGUCGCGAACCCGCAAGGUGGAGACGAACCCCAAAAGCCGGUCUCAGUUCGGAUUGGAGUCUGCAACUCGACUCCAUGAAGUUGGAAUCGCUAGUAAUCGCGGAUCAGCAUGCCGCGGUCGAAUACGUUCCCGGGCCUU
rnacentral:rRNA from 1 species